rnacentral:rRNA from 1 species
GAGUGCUAGGUGUUAGACCCUUUCCGGGGUUUAGUGCCGCAGCUAACGCAUUAAGCACUCCGCCUGGGGAGUACGACCGCAAGGUUGAAACUCAAAGGAAUUGACGGGGGCCCGCACAAGCGGUGGAGCAUGUGGUUUAAUUNGAAGCAACGCGAAGAACCUUACCAGGUCUUGACAUCCCUCUGACCGCUCUAGAGAUAGAGUUUUCCUUCGGGACAGAGGUGACAGGUGGUGCAUGGUUGUCGUCAGCUCGUGUCGUGAGAUGUUGGGUUAANNNNNNNNNCGAGCGCAACCCCUAUUGUUAGUUGCCAUCAUUUAGUUGGGCACUCUAGCGAGACUGCCGGUAAUAAACCGGAGGAAGGUGGGGAUGACGUCAAAUCAUCAUGCCCCUUAUGACCUGGGCUACACACGUGCUACAAUGGCUGGUACAACGAGUCGCAAGCCGGUGACGGCAAGCUAAUCUCUUAAAGCCAGUCUCAGUUCGGAUUGUAGGCUGCAACUCGCCUACAUGAAGUCGGAAUCGCUAGUAAUCGCGGAUCAGCACGCCGCGGNGAAUACGUUCCCGGGCCUU